CACAUGUGACGUCAUGCUACCGUCUGAUGAAGUGGAGGCUCCUGUCCUGAAGGGCCCACACGCGUUUAUCGAAGGAAGAAUGAUUACUGGGUAACUCUGUUGACAUUAACCAAACUGGAACUAUGGGAUUGUGCAGUGUGAUGGCGAUUGCAUGGUCUAUGGACCUCUAGGGGCGGUAUGCAAGCUGAAGUGGGUCUAGGGUGGCAGGUAAGGAACACAUUUGAACAUGAUGGAUAUGCAACAAGGAAAACCAUUUACCCACUCAGGCCUGAAGUCUCAGUCAUAAAUCUCCCAAGACUUUGCUCUUCAAACUCCGCUUUACCUCAUAGAACGAGUAUGUUCUCCAACAUCAAGCACCAGAUGUCACUGUCUGGUACAUUGCCAACAGAAUACAGGGGAUUUGACAUGACAACGAAACUAGAAGUUUUACCGUGUAUUUAAUUGAAAAUAUGUAAGUCAAUGCAUUUCAUCUCCAGUUCUCUGACAGACUUGUAGACACACAGAUAUGUUUUGUGUAGGAAAACAUUUAUUCCAGUUAUGUCUGGGUGUGUGAAACCCAAUGAAGGAAUUACUGCAACGAAAUCAAAAACAUUAAUAAAGAACUCACAAAAAAAAAGUAAAAUAAGAGAGUUUAUUGUUUAAGUAUGGUACUGUUCUCUUUUCUCCAGUGCAAGAGAGCUUGUGAGGUUGUAGUGCAUAUAACACAGAGAUAUCACUAACCAUUCCAGAUAUGAAAUAUGACAGUGGAGUAGUUUGGCUUUCCAGAAUCAAAUGUGUAGAUAGAGACUUGAGUCUUAACUUGGCUGCAGGCUGAACAGUUCCCUUGAAAUUUGAAAUAAAUAUAGUGGAAUUCGAUAACAAUUUAUUACCAGAUACCUUUCAUCAUAGUAUUCUUAAACAGAAAACCUACCUUUCGCUGUGGUGUACAGACCAUCAACGUCACUAAACAAACACCAUGUUGUUCAUAGGAAUGUAGGCACUGCAGACAAAGCAGAAAGUCGUGAAGCUGUCGUGAAAUGCAUAUUCCCUUACAUGUACAUAUGGACUUGUCUAGUGAUAAUCAGCAAUUGAAAACUCAUAUUGAUGCUAUUUUGAAGACAUCCGUGGCACAAGCAGCUAAAAUGGGGGGGAAAAGCAGUUAUCAAAUCUAUUUAUUGAUAGCAAACACAGAAGGUCCUAUCACACAACCUGGUUGCAGAGCGUCUCAAUUCCAGAAUACACAUCUAAUGCUGUCUGUUUAAACCAGGUCAUAAAACACUUUAUUUAUAUUUUAACUAGCUAAAUAAAACACGCACAUUUCCUUUUAGUGUCUAAUCAUUUACCAGCAAUAACUACGUUUUCAUCAACAGGUUUUAUGCGAGUCAUAUCGUCAUAUCGUAAUUUUUUAAAAUAAUAACAGCUGUGAUCGAAACAGGUACAGUUUCCGUAAAAUUGUAUAAAUGUAGACAGAUAAUUUGUUCAUUCGACAUGGUGGGAUCUUUUUGUGUCGGUAAAAUUAAUUAUGCAAGAAAUGGUGGUUAAACGCCUUUAUGAACAAAUAUAGACAAAUAACAUCAUACCAAAGUCAAUUGGGAGCCACGCGAUUAUAUGGUGUGUGGUCCUCCCACUAUGUCUUGGGAAACCAUGCAGUUUAUUAGGCUACAUAUUAAAUAAAUUAUGAUGAACUUCACAGGGUGGUGAAAGUGUACAGCGAUCUCGAUUUCAAAUAAAUAUCGACAGAUUUACUCUGGUGACAUGAGGCUUGAUGCUUGAUGCUUGAUGCUUGACUGCCAUUUGACAAAUGUUAUAUAAAUAAUAAUAUAAAGCAUUACUAGCAGACCAAAGCUCUGGUUAAACGGAUGCCCUCAGAUAACUCUGGGCCCAGUGUCCUCAGUCAAGUUUAGAGCCUACGUGCAAUAACAUGAUUAUCUGAAGGACACACAGCUGCCAUCACGCAAAUAUACUCCCCUGUAAACUACAAAGAUCAUCCUGCAACACUAACGAGCUUAGAGUGCCAAGCUAUCUCACUGACAUUGAACCCUACAUGCACUCCUGCAUAAACAGGAAACACCUGAGCCUAAAGCAGACAUUACCAGUCCCUAAAUCCACGCUUCCUUGACACACAUACAUUUCUUGGCACCCCCCUACUGGUCGGGUGCCAAGAGAAAAGGACUUUGCUGUGCACCAAUGGGGCUCCUGCUCUGGCUAAGAGCAGGCCCACCUCCAACUCUUCAGGACCAGUCAGAAGACCAACACGACGAGACUCCACCUACAUUAUUCUGUGUAUACAUUCUGCUGUAAACUCUGGCUGGGGAGCCUAAUUUUUCUGACUCCUCACAGAGUCAUAUUGCUUAGGUCCGUGCACGAUAAACGGCAGGACAAGAUCUCUUUGACUCAAUAAACUGCCUUUUUGAUACACCUGA